GUCAAGAUGGCCGAGUGGUCUAAGGCGCUGCACUCAAGAUAUAGUCUUACCUAGAUAACUAGGAAUAUUUGCAGUAUCGAAAGAUUCUUGGGUUCGAAUCCCAAUCUUGACA